AACGAACGCUGGCGGCAGGCCUAACACAAGCAAGUCGAGCGAAGCCUUCGGGCUUAGCGGCGGACGGGUGAGUACGCGUGGGAACGUGCCCUUUGGUACGGAAUAGCCCCGGGAAACUGGGAGUAAUACCGUAUGUGGUCGAGAGACGAAAGAUUUAUCGCCAAAGGAUCGGCCCGCGUUGGAUUAGGUAGUUGGUGGGGUAAUGGCCUACCAAGCCGACGAUCCAUAGCUGGUUUGAGAGGAUGAUCAGCCACACUGGGACUGAGACACGGCCCAGACUCCUACGGGAGGCAGCAGUGGGGAAUCUUAGACAAUGGGGGAAACCCUGAUCUAGCCAUGCCGCGUGAUCGAUGAAGGCCUUAGGGUUGUAAAGAUCUUUCAGUGGGGAAGAUAAUGACUGUACCCACAGAAGAAGCCCCGGCUAACUCCGUGCCAGCCGCCGCGGUAAAAC
rnacentral:rRNA from 1 species